rnacentral:lncRNA from 1 species
AGUUAUGAAAAAUUAGUAUAUAGAAAACUUAAAAUGAAAAAAUACUUACCGACACCCUAAUGGCAUGUCGACAAGCUCAGGCUGCGGGCCUACUACCUCAGGGCGGCCAAUAUGCAGGUGGUCCCAUGCCCAUAUCUAUACAAAAAUAAACAUUCUUGUUAGAAAUGGAAACAAAAACCAUGACUUAACUAGGAGUAUUAUAAGGGUCUUCUUGUUAGAAGUAUUGUACCUGAACUAAUGUCCCAAAACAACAACACUCGACCUUUCCCCUGAUGCAAGCAUUUCCUAGGGCGCGAUAAAGAUGUGCUAGCGCGGCUGCACCCCAUGCUAAUGCACCACAAAGGUCAAAAUCCUCUAAAUGUGGCAACCAUUUCAAAUGCACCCUGUUGCCGCUUGGAUUUGGAAACAAACUACAUCCUAUCUGAAAUAGUAUAUAUGCUCUCGCCGUAGCUCUAACAAUAGCGGGAGGUGCGUCUAAGGGGAUAUCAUGGAACUGCUGAUAUAACCAAUCUAUCUUGAUCUCACCACCCCUAAUAUCCUCCGGAACCACCCCGAGAAGUAACCCGCAGAGCUCUGCCCACUGAUAGGAUCCCCCUCCAGUCNCUAUAUAUAGUAUAGAGAGCAUAGUAGCCUAGCUCUCUCUCUCUAUAUAUAUAUAUAGUAUAUUGGCCUAGUUCGAUAAUGCAUUUUUGCAGGAUUGAGACUCUAACUUGAAAUUGAUCGCCUACAAACCUAAUUGAGGGUAAAGCGAACACGUUGGCGAAGUCGGUUCGGCAAUCCGUCGAGCCUACGUUAAGAUAUCGCCAAAAGGACGUUUUCAGCUUCAAAAUGGAAUGAUAAUCGAAAUCCGUCGAGCCUAACUCUAUAUAUAGGACUUUUAAAUUCAAGAUCAAGAAUGUUAAUCUUAAUCUAUAUAGUUUAAAGUAUUUUCUAUCAAAAUUUGAAGAAAUUUAGAUUCUUCUAUAUAGUAGCCCAGCUCUAUAUAUAGUAUAGAUAAUAUAGUAGCCUAGCUUCUAUACACGCGUUAUUCAUUCAUCCUUACAUUACACCAUUUAUAUCUUCAUGUUGCAAAGGAGAUGUUUUUUAUUGGGUUUUAGUAUGUUCUAUACAUUGGCCUGAGGCAUGCAGCUAGAGUAAAACUUGACAUGCAACUAAGUGUUCCUAAUGGGAAGAUACUGAUAAAUCACAUUAUUGAAUACAAAAUUCGACAGAUUGAGUAACUUGUAUAAAUCUGAGACUCUAACUGCUGAUCCGGCUGAUCACGAUAAAACUCAAUAUCAGUAGUCCUGACAUUGUCCAGAAAUGCUAAUCUAGUAUUCCACAUGUUUCAUUUAUAUCAUAUUAGUGAUGAAAAAUUAGUAUAUAGAAAACUUAAAAUGAAAAAAUACUUACCGACACCCUAAUGGCAUGUCGACAAGCUCAGGCUGCGGGCCUACUACCUCAGGGCGGCCAAUAUGCAGGUGGUCCCAUGCCCAUAUCUAUACAAAAAAAAACAUUCUUGUUAGAAAUGAAAACAAAAACCAUGACUUAACUAGAAGUAUUAUAAGGGUCUUCUUGUUAGAAGUAUUGUA